rnacentral:rRNA from 1 species
ACAUGCAAGUCGAACGAGAAAGUGGAGCAAUCCAUGAGUAAAGUGGCGACCGGGUGAGUAACACGUGACUAACCUACCCUCGAGUGGGGAAUAACUCCGGGAAACCGGGGCUAAUACCGCAUAACAUCGCAAGAUCAAAGCAGCAAUGCGCUUGAGGAGGGGGUCGCGGCUGAUUAGCUAGUUGGCGGGGUAACGGCCCACCAAGGCGAAGAUCGGUAUCCGGCCUGAGAGGGCGCACGGACACACUGGAACUGAAACACGGUCCAGACUCCUACGGGAGGCAGCAGUGGGGAAUUUUGCGCAAUGGGGGAAACCCUGACGCAGCAACGCCGCGUGGAGGAUGAAGCCCUUUGGGGCGUAAACUCCUUUCGACUCGGACGAUAAUGACGGUACGAGUGGAAGAAGCACCGGCUAACUCUGUGCCAGCAGCCGCGGUAAUACAGAGGGUGCGGGCGUNGUUCGGAAUUAUUGGGCGUAAAGGGCGCGUAGGCGGUGCGGUAAGUCACCUGUGAAAUCUCCUGGCUUAACUGGGAGCCUG